CCGGGAGUUACACACCAACGAAUUUCUAAAGAAAGCCUAACAAAAAGGCAAAUAAAGCAAGAGGAUUCUCACAGACUCACUGCUGCAGGGCUUUAAAAUCUCAGCCUCAUCUAUUGAACACUAGCCCAGCUUCCCUCAACCCCUCAAAGCAGCAAGAUUUAUGCAAGCCUCCUGUGACAGCAGAGCUUCUGUCCCAUCAGUAGCCUUAUCAAAUCUGUCCUAUAGCCCCAUCAGACCUGAGCGAACACCUGCUUUCCAGGUCAUAAGACCCCCAUUUCAAGAGGGUCCUGCUGCAUACCCAGAAGGAAGGAAUACUGCACAGAGAAGCUAAGAGGAAUUUAAACAGACAGACCUUGCUGGACUUUCCUACUCAGUCUAUUAACAUUAGAUCAUACCCUUUCUGCCCAGUUAUUUUUCUCCAUGGCUGUCCGUACUUCAUUGAACCCAAGCCUAAAAAUGGGCAGUUUCCCCGUAUCUUUGGGUCUUUAUUCUGAAGGCUCCGUGUAAAACUGUAAUCAAAUAAAUCUGUAUACCUUUUC
rnacentral:lncRNA from 10 species